UGAGAGCUUGGUGUGCUGUCCCUG
rnacentral:misc_RNA from 1 species